rnacentral:rRNA from 1 species
UACGUAGGCAGCAAGCGUUGUUCGGAGUUACUGGGCGUAAAGGGUGUGUAGGCGGCUUUUUAAGUUUGGUGUGAAAUCUCCCGGCUCAACUGGGAGGGUGCGCCGAAUACUGAGAGGCUAGAGUGCGGGAGAGGAAAGUGGAAUUCCUGGUGUAGCGGUGAAAUGCGUAGAUAUCAGGAGGAACACCAAUGGCGAAGGCAGCUCGCUGGGACGGUACUGACGCUGAGGCGCGAAAGCCAGGGGAGCAAACGGGG